GACGAACCGUGCAAACGUUAUUCGGAAUCACUGGGCUUAAAGCGUGCGUAGGCGGCUAAGAAAGUUGGGUGUGAAAUCCCUCGGCUCAACCGAGGAAUUGCGCUCAAAACUACUUAGCUUGAGGGAGUUAGAGGUGAGCGGAACUAAUGGUGGAGCGGUGAAAUGCGUUGAUAUCAUUAGGAACACCGGUGGCGAAAGCGGCUCACUGGGACUCUUCUGACGCUAAGGCACGAAAGCUAGGGUAGCGAACGGG
rnacentral:rRNA from 1 species